rnacentral:rRNA from 1 species
AAGAUACAGGCUAGCGGCGGACGGGUGAGUAACACGUGGGUAACCUGCCCAAGAGAUCGGGAUAACACCUGGAAACAGAUGCUAAUACCGGAUAACAACAGAUGAUGCCUAUCAACUGUUUAAAAGAUGGUUCUGCUAUCACUCUUGGAUGGACCUGCGGUGCAUUAGCUAGUUGGUAGGGUAACGGCCUACCAAGGCGAUGAUGCAUAGCCGAGUUGAGAGACUGAUCGGCCACAUUGGGACUGAGACACGGCCCAAACUCC